CAGCUGACGAGUUCCAAAUAGGACGAAAUGUACGUCCUG
rfam:Schistosoma mansoni strain Puerto Rico chromosome 6, complete genome